rnacentral:rRNA from 1 species
UACGUAGGGGGCAAGCGUUGUCCGGAAUCAUUGGGCGUAAAGAGCGUGUAGGCGGCCCGAUAAGUCCGCUGUGAAAGUCCAGGGCUCAACCCUGGAAUGGCGGUGGAUACUGUCGGGCUCGAAUCCGGAAGAGGUGAGUGGAAUUCCUGGUGUAGCGGUGAAAUGCGCAGAUAUCAGGAGGAACACCAAUGGCGAAGGCAGCUCACUGGGACGGUAUUGACGCUGAGACGCGAAAGCGUGGGGAGCAAACAGG